rnacentral:rRNA from 1 species
GACGAACGCUGGCGGCGUGCUUAACACAUGCAAGUCGAACGGAAAGGCCCUGCUUUUGUGGGGUGCUCGAGUGGCGAACGGGUGAGUAACACGUGAGUAACCUGCCCUUGACUUUGGGAUAACUUCAGGAAACUGGGGCUAAUACCGGAUAGGAGCUCCUGCUGCAUGGUGGGGGUUGGAAAGUUUCGGCGGUUGGGGAUGGACUCGCGGCUUAUCAGCUUGUUGGUGGGGUAGUGGCUUACCAAGGCUUUGACGGGUAGCCGGCCUGAGAGGGUGACCGGCCACAUGGGGACUGAGAUACGGCCCAGACGCAGACGGGAGGCAGCAGUGGGGAAUAUUGCACAAUGGGAGGAAGCCUGAUGCAGCAACGCCGCGUGCGGGAUGACGGCCUUCGGGUUGUAAACCGCUUUCGCCUGUGACGAAGCGUGAGUGACGGUAAUGGGUAAAGAAGCACCGGCUAACUACGUG